rnacentral:rRNA from 1 species
GAUGAACGCUGGCGGCGUGCCUAACACAUGCAAGUCGAACGGAGAUUACGGACGGAAGUUUUCGGAUGGAAGACUGUAAUUCUUAGUGGCGGACGGGUGAGUAACGCGUGGGCAACCUGCCCUAUACAGGGGGAUAGCAGCUGGAAACGGCUGGUAAGACCGCAUAAGUCGGUUAAAUCGCAUGAUUUGAUCGGGAAAUGAGCAAUCAGGUAUAGGGUGGGCCCGCGUCCGAUUAGCCAGUUGGCAGGGUAAAAGCCUACCAAAGCGACGAUCGGUAGCCGGACUGAGAGGUCGGACGGCCACAUUGGGACUGAGACACGGCCCAAACUCCUACGGGAGGCAGCAGUGGGGGAUAUUGCACAAUGGAGGAAACUCUGAUGCAGCGACGCCGCGUGAGUGAAGAAGUAUUUCGGUAUGUAAAGCUCUAUCAGCAGGGAAGAUGAUGACGGUACCUGACUAAGAAGCCCCGGCUAACUACGUG